CGGACGGGUGAGUAACGCGUGGAAAACCUGCCGUAUACUGGGGGAUAACACUUAGAAAUAGGUGCUAAUACCGCAUAAGCGCACAGCUUCGCAUGAAGCGGUGUGAAAAACUCUGGUGGUAUACGAUCGGUUCCGCGUCUGAUUAGCUAGUUGGUGGGGUAAUGGCCUACCAAGGCAACGAUCAGUAGCCGGCCUGAGAGGGUGAACGGCCACAUUGGGACUGAGACACGGCCCAAACUCCUACGGGAGGCAGCAG
rnacentral:rRNA from 1 species